rnacentral:rRNA from 1 species
AGAUUAAGUUAUUAAGGGCGCACGGUGGAUGCCUUGGCACUAGAAGCCGAAGAAGGACGUUACUAACGACGAUAUGCUUUGGGUAGCUGUAAGUAAGCGUUGAUCCAGAGAUUUCCGAAUGGGGGAACCCAACAUGAGUUAUGUCAUGUUAUCGACAUGUGAAUUCAUAGCAUGUCAGAAGGCAGACCCGGAGAACUGAAACAUCUUAGUACCCGGAGGAAGAGAAAGAAAAAUCGAUUCCCUGAGUAGCGGCGAGCGAAACGGGAAGAGCCCAAACCAACAAGCUUGCUUGUUGGGGUUGUAGGACACUCUAUACGGAGUUACAAAAGAACAUGUUAGACGAAUCAUCUGGAAAGAUGAAUCAAAGAAGGUAAUAAUCCUGUAGUCGAAAACAUAUUCUCUCUUGAGUGGAUCCUGAGUACGACGGAGCACGUGAAAUUCCGUCGGAAUCUAGGAGGACCAUCUCCUAAGGCUAAAUACUCUCUAGUGACCGAUAGUGAACCAGUACCGUGAGGGAAAGGUGAAAAGUACCCCGGAAGGGGAGUGAAAGAGAACUUGAAACCGUGUGCUUACAAGUAGUCAGAGCCCGUUUAUGGGUGAUGGCGUGCCUUUUGUAGAAUGAACCGGCGAGUUACGAUCUGAUGCAAGGUUAAGCAGCGAAUGUGGAGCCGUAGCGAAAGCGAGUCUGAAUAGGGCGUUGAGUAUUUGGUCGUAGACCCGAAACCAGGUGAUCUACCCUUGGUCAGGUUGAAGUUCAGGUAACACUGAAUGGAGGACCGAACCGACUUACGUUGAAAAGUGAGCGGAUGAACUGAGGGUAGCGGAGAAAUUCCAAUCGAACUUGGAGAUAGCUGGUUCUCUCCGAAAUAGCUUUAGGGCUAGCCUCAAGUGAUGAUUAUUGGAGGUAGAGCACUGUUUGGACGAGGGGCCCCUCUCGGGUUACCGAAUUCAGACAAACUCCGAAUGCCAAUCAAUUUAACUUGGGAGUCAGAACAUGGGUGAUAAGGUCCGUGUUCGAAAGGGAAACAGCCCAGACCACCAGCUAAGGUCCCAAAAUAUAUGUUAAGUGGAAAAGGAUGUGGCGUUGCCCAGACAACUAGGAUGUUGGCUUAGAAGCAGCCAUCAUUUAAAGAGUGCGUAAUAGCUCACUAGUCGAGUGACACUGCGCCGAAAAUGUACCGGGGCUAAACAUAUUACCGAAGCUGUGGAUUGUCCUUCGGACAAUGGUAGGAGAGCGUUCUAAGGGCGUUGAAGCAUGAUCGCAAGGACAUGUGGAGCGCUUAGAAGUGAGAAUGCCGGUGUGAGUAGCGAAAGACGGGUGAGAAUCCCGUCCACCGAUUGACUAAGGUUUCCAGAGGAAGGCUCGUCCGCUCUGGGUUAGUCGGGUCCUAAGCUGAGGCCGACAGGCGUAGGCGAUGGAUAACAGGUUGAUAUUCCUGUACCACCUAGUAUCGUUUUAAUCGAUGGGGGGACGCAGUAGGAUAGGCGAAGCGUGCUGUUGGAGUGCACGUCCAAGCAGUAAGGCUGAGUGUUAGGCAAAUCCGGCACUCGUUAGGCUGAGCUGUGAUGGGGAGAGGAAAUUGUUUCCUCGAGUCGUUGAUUUCACACUGCCGAGAAAAGCCUCUAGAUAGAUAACAGGUGCCCGUACCGCAAACCGACACAGGUAGUCAAGAUGAGAAUUCUAAGGUGAGCGAGCGAACUCUCGUUAAGGAACUCGGCAAAAUGACCCCGUAACUUCGGGAGAAGGGGUGCUCUUUAGGGUUCACGCCCAGAAGAGCCGCAGUGAAUAGGCCCAAGCGACUGUUUAUCAAAAACACAGGUCUCUGCUAAACCGUAAGGUGAUGUAUAGGGGCUGACGCCUGCCCGGUGCUGGAAGGUUAAGAGGAGUGGUUAGCUUCUGCGAAGCCACGAAUCGAAGCCCCAGUAAACGGCGGCCGUAACUAUAACGGUCCUAAGGUAGCGAAAUUCCUUGUCGGGUAAGUUCCGA